rnacentral:lncRNA from 1 species
UGUGACAGAUGCACCAUGUACUUUUUUUUUCAUUUACUUCCGUAUUUCACAGAAAAUUUAUAAGCAACAAAUUCAGUCAAAAUUACAGUGUUUGGUUGAUCGAAUAUUAUGACACUUGCUGAUUUGUUUUGAGCGUAAUAUACCACUGAUGCAGGUCUAAUCAUUAAGCUUUACGUGGAAGUCGGUUCAUCAGAAACAACGUGUUCAAUAUGAGUUGGUUUAUUUAUCUAUGGUUUAUUUACAUGGAAUGCUCAUUUAGUAUAAUCCUCUAAAUUAUUUGGUGAUUUGGAGUUCACUUCAUUGUCAUAUCGGUCAGGAUGUCUUCUCCAUGGAAUCAUGGCAAGAUCAGCCGAAAUGCAGCUGAGCAGCUGUUGGUAGCAAAUGGAAAAGAUGGGGCUUUCUUGGUCCGUCAAAGCGAGAGUGUUAGUGAUGCACACGUCUUGAGUUUGUGGUAUGUUG